GAUGAACGCUAGCUACAGGCUUAACACAUGCAAGUCGCGGGGCGGCAUGGGGGUUGCUUGCAAUCCCCGAUGGCGACCGGCGCACGGGUGAGUAACGCGUAUCCAACCUGCCCUUCACCACGGGAUAACCCGGCGAAAGUCGGACUAAUACCGUAUGUUGUCCAUUGACGGCAUCCGAUCUGGACGAAAGGCUUGGCGGUGAGGGAUGGGGAUGCGUCCGAUUAGCCAGACGGCGGGGUAACGGCCCACCGUGGCUACGAUCGGUAGGGGUUCUGAGAGGAAGGUCCCCCACACUGGAACUGAGACACGGUCCAGACUCCUACGGGAGGCAGCAGUGAGGAAUAUUGGUCAAUGGGCGUAAGCCUGAACCAGCCAAGUAGCGUGCAGGAUGACGGCCCUAUGGGUUGUAAACUGCUUUUAUGCGGGGAUAAAGUGGCCCACGUGUGGGCUUUUGCAGGUACCGCAUGAAUAAGGACCGGCUAAUUCCGUG
rnacentral:rRNA from 1 species